ensembl:lncRNA
GCUUUUCUAGACCUAAGGGAUAAUGUUUGCUUUAUAAUCCUUGUUUUAUGUUCUAAAACAUGUCAAAGCGCUAACGGAAUUAGCCCCAGAGCAUUUCAGAGUGCUGUAAAACCAAUCAAAAAGAAGUUGGGAGAUUACAUAUUACAUAUUUGAAUAAUCUAAUAAUUCAUGUAAUUAAACAAUCAAGGCAUUUAAACACUUGUGGGGAGGGGAGGGAGGGAGAGGCAAGCAGGGAGGCAGACAAGCAGGGAGGCAGACAAGCAGGGAGGCAGACAAGCAGGGAGGCAGACAAGCAGGGAGGCAGACAAGCAGGGAGGCAGACAAGCAGGGAGACAGACAAGCAGGGAAGCAGACAAGCAGGGAAGCAGACAAGCAGGGAGACAGACAAGCAGGGAGGCAGACAAGCAGGGAGGCAGACAAGCAGGGAAGCAGACAAGCAGGGAAGCAGACAAGCAGGGAGGCAGACAAGCAGGGA